UACGACGGGGGCUAGCGUUGUUCGGAAUUACUGGGCGUAAAGCGCACGUAGGCGGAUACUUAAGUCAGGGGUGAAAUCCCGGGGCUCAACCCCGGAACUGCCUUUGAUACUGGGUAUCUCGAGUCCGGAAGAGGUGAGUGGAAUUCCGAGUGUAGAGGUGAAAUUCGUAGAUAUUCGGAGGAACACCAGUGGCGAAGGCGGCUCACUGGUCCGGUACUGACGCUGAGGUGCGAAAGCGUGGGGAGCAAACAGG
rnacentral:rRNA from 1 species